rnacentral:rRNA from 1 species
AGUGAACGCUGGCGGUAGGCCUAACACAUGCAAGUCGAACGGCAGCACAGUAAGAGCUUGCUCUUACGGGUGGCGAGUGGCGGACGGGUGAGGAAUACAUCGGAAUCUACUUUUUCGUGGGGGAUAACGUAGGGAAACUUACGCUAAUACCGCAUACGACCUACGGGUGAAAGCAGGGGAUCUUCGGACCUUGCGCGAUUGAAUGAGCCGAUGUCGGAUUAGCUAGUUGGCGGGGUAAAGGCCCACCAAGGCGACGAUCCGUAGCUGGUCUGAGAGGAUGAUCAGCCACACUGGAACUGAGACACGGUCCAGACUCCUACGGGAGGCAGCAGUGGGGAAUAGUGGGCAAUGGGCGCAAGCCUGAUCCAGCCAUACCGCGUGGGUGAAGAAGGCCUUCGGGUUGUAAAGCCCUUUUGUUGGGAAAGAAAAGCAGCAGGUUAAUACGACGCUGUUGUGACGGUACCCAAAGAAGAAGCACCGGCUAACUUCGUG